rnacentral:rRNA from 1 species
GAGCACGUAGGUGGGUUUGUAAGUCAGAUGUGAAAGCCUUCUGUUCAAAGGAAGAGCGGCAUCUGAAACUGCAGAUCUUGAGUGUAGGAGGGGAGAGUGGAACUUCUGGUGGAGCGGUGAAAUGCGUAGAUACCAGAAGGAACGUCGGCGGCGAAAGCGACUCUCUGGCCUAUUACUGACACUGAGUGUGCGAAAGUUGGGGGAGCAAACGGGAUUAGAUACCCCGGUAGUCCUAACUGUAAACGAUGGGCACUAAGUAGAGGGGU